rnacentral:rRNA from 1 species
UACGGAGGGUGCAAGCGUUAUCCGGAUUCACUGGGUUUAAAGGGUGCGUAGGUGGAUUGGUCAGUCAGGGGUGAAAGCCCAGAGCUUAACUCUGGAAUUGCCUUUGAUACUGCCAGUCUUGAGUGUGGUUGAGGUGGGCGGAAUAUGACAUGUAGCGGUGAAAUGCUUAGAUAUGUCAUAGAACACCGAUUGCGUAGGCAGCUCACUAAACCAUUACUGACACUGAGGCACGAAAGCGUGGGGAUCGAACAGGAUUAGAAACCCCCGUAGUCC